AAGCAACAAAUACUGAGGCAGCUCAUCUACAAAAUUCUAACUGAGAAAUCCCAAAGCCAAGCAAUACAACCCAUAUCCAGCAAAUACACCACAAGACGACAAGCAAAAUAUCAUCAAACCCAAGCAACACAGCAGUCAAAUAUCAAUAAACGCAAAGUUACAAAAGUUUGUAGAAAUUUCAUCUUGGCAGUGUCAGCGCCGGCGACAACCCAUAGCGAAUGUUGAGCUUUUGGAGAUCAAAAAUAAUAAAAAUGAAGAGCACUAAGGGGCCCCUGACAUACUCAAAACCCAGAAUGAUCGGACAGUGAAAAGGAACCAAAACAGUGAAGAAAG
rnacentral:lncRNA from 1 species